rnacentral:rRNA from 1 species
AAUGGGGGAAAACCUGACGCAGCGACGCCGCGUGGAGGAUGAAGGCCUUCGGGUUGUAAACUCCUGUCRGGUGGGAAGAAAGCCGGGCGGGUGAAUAACCCGUGCGGUUGACGGUACCUCCGAAGGAAGCCCCGGCUAACUCCGUGCCAGCAGCCGCGGUAAUACGGAGGGGGCAAGCGUUGUUCGGAUUUAUUGGGCGUAAAGGGCGCGUAGGCGGCUUGGCAAGUCAGAGGUGAAAUCCCUCGGCUCAACCGAGGAAUUGCCUUUGAAACUGCCUGGCUUGAGUCCCGGAGAGGGUAGCGGAAUUCCCAGUGUAGCGGUGAAAUGCGUAGAUAUUGGGAGGAACACCGGUGGCGAAGGCGGCUCCCUGGACCGGUACUGACGCUGAGGCGCGAAAGCGUGGGGAGCAAACAGGAUUAGAUACCCUGGUAGUCCACGCCGUAAACGAUGGGCACUAGGUGUAGCGGGUAUCGACCCCUGCGUGCCGUAGCUAACGCWUAA